rnacentral:pre_miRNA from 2 species
AGGUGCCCCUCGGGGUAAGUGCACCAAGGGUGGACCUCAGAGCAUGUGCUUGGUUUGUGCCAUAUGUCUGGGGGCCACCCGCUUGUCUUAGGAGACCCCCGCUCGUGC